rnacentral:rRNA from 1 species
GGGGAAUUAGGGUUCGAUUCCGGAGAGGGAGCCUGAGAAACGGCUACCACAUCUAAGGAAGGCAGCAGGCGCGCAAAUUACCCAAUCCUAAUACAGGGAGGUAGUGACAAGAAAUAACAAUACAGGACUUUUUGGUUUUGUAAUUGGAAUGAGUUAAGUAUAAACCCCUUUACAAGUAUCAAUUGGAGGGCAAGUCUGGUGCCAGCAGCCGCGGUAAUUCCAGCUCCAAUAGCGUAUAUUAAAGUUGUUGCAGUUAAAAAGCUCGUAGUUGGAUUUCUGUUAAUAAUUUGUAUAAAAUAUUUUGAAUAUUUAUAUAACAUUAACAUAAUUCAUAUUACUAUAUUUUUUAGUAUAUGAAAUUUUACUUUGAGAAAAUUAGAGUGCUUAAAGCAGGCAUAUGCCUUGAAUACUCCAGCAUGGAAUAAAAUUAAAGAUUUUUAUCUUUUUUAUUGGUUCUAAGAUAAGAAUAAUGAUUAAUANGGACAGUG